rnacentral:rRNA from 1 species
GCAGGCUGCAACUCGCCUGCAUGAAGUCGGAAUUGCUAGUAAUCGCAGAUCAGCAUGCUGCGGUGAAUACGUUCCCGGGCCUUGUACACACCGCCCGUCACACCAUGGGAGUCGGUAACACCCGAAGUCGGUAGCCUAACCGUAAGGAGGGCGCCGCCGAAGGUGGGAUUGAUGACUGGGGUGAAGUCGUAACAAGGUAAC